rnacentral:sRNA from 1 species
AUGUACUACUCGUACACUGCGAUUCCUGCGUGCCGUCCACGCCCGCCUGACAACUGCUCGCUACGUUGUAUUUGCC